rnacentral:rRNA from 1 species
AUGAGUCGACCUGAUGGGAUCAACAUCCCCGACGGCAAGUUCUACCUUGGAGAUGCUGGCUAUGUAUGUCGGCCGGGUAUUCUUCCACCCUUCAGAAAAACAAGGUAUCAUCUCAACGAGUUCUCUGGUAGGAACUUUCCCAGGACUGCACAGGAGCUGUUUAAUAUCAGACACUCCAGCCUUAGAGUAACUGUUGAGAGGGCAUUUGGAGCUCUGAAGAAUAGGUUUAAGAUCCUGGAUCAGAAGCCAUUCCACCCAUACUCCACUCAGGUUAAGCUAGUUCUUGCUUGUUGCAUUCUGCAUAACUGGAUCCUCCAGUGGGGCUUUGAUGAACAUGAGCCUGAGGAGGAAGAGGUCGAGCUUGACGAUGUUGUUAGCUCUGGCCAUGGUGUGGAGGCAUUUGACAAUGACGCUUGGAAGAACAAAAAGUUGGAGUGGGCAGAGGCAAUGUGGCUUAACAGAGGUCAGUGCGGGAUUUGA